rnacentral:rRNA from 1 species
UACGUAGGGCGCAAGCGUUAUCCGGAAUUAUUGGGCGUAAAGAGCUCGUAGGCGGUUUGUCGCGUCUGCUGUGAAAGACCGGGGCUCAACUCCGGUUCUGCAGUGGGUACGGGCAGACUAGAGUGCAGUAGGGGAGACUGGAAUUCCUGGUGUAGCGGUGAAAUGCGCAGAUAUCAGGAGGAACACCGGUGGCGAAGGCGGGUCUCUGGGCCGUAACUGACGCUGAGGAGCGAAAGCGUGGGGAGCGAACAGG